GACGAAUGCGUAGAAUUGAGAAAGUAGCGAGCACUGAUAAGUCGAUCUCAAUGCAGCAUCAUUCGCGAUUUGUAUUCCCAUCAGUUUGGUCGUUCAGUCUUAAACAUCAUUCAGUAUGAAGCAGAUCACUGUCGUAUUCCUCGUCGUUUGCGUUAUUCUGUUCCAUAUUCAUGGCGUAAAAUCUGAUUCCUCAAAUGAAGGUACAAGUUCCCAACGUGUUCAACGAGAGGCUGUCGGUGCAACAACACCAUCAACAAGUCUAAACGAUCACAACCUCAUACAUGGUCAUCCCAGCUGCCCAAAAGGAUGUAAACGAGAUUUCAGAAAUAAAUGCAUAGUCGCAAAACCUACAGCAAAAAUUAAUUGCAAUUGAACUGUCGUAAAAGCGAACUAAUGAUUAUGUGAAAUAAUAAAAAAUGGAAGAAAGAUAAGGAAUUUACUUUUAUUCUUAGGAUUUAAACAUAUACGCUGGUAUUUUUGUUACCAUUGGGUGCGUAAACAAAUAAAGCUGAUGACUGCAAGCGACUUACGGGCAGUUGCAUGAAGGGAAAAGGAA